CAACUCUAAUGGCUCUCCAGUACACAUCUGGAACUGCUGGAUGGCCUCGUGGUGAGACCUCUUAUACCCAGGGGGAGGAGUCAGAGGCAAGAAGAGAUUGCACCAAUGAGGG